AUUGAACGCUGGCGGCAGGCCUAACACAUGCAAGUCGAGCGAGCGGCGGGCGGGUGAGUAGUGUAUGGGGAUCUGCCCGAUGGCGGGGGAUAACUACUGGAAAAGGUAGCUAAUACCGCAUACCAUCAGAUGAACCCAUAUGGGAUUAGCUAGUAGGGAAGGUAACGGCUUACCUGGGCGACGAUCCCUAGCUGGUCUGAGAGGAUGAUCAGCCACAAUGGGACUGAGAAACGGCCCAGACGCCUACGGGAGGCAGCAGUGGGGAAUAUUGCACAAUGGGCGCAAGCCUGAUGCAGCCAUGCCGCGUGUAUGAAGAAGGCCUUCGGGUUGUAAAGUACUUUCAGUCGGGAGGCGUUACCGACAGAAGAAGCACCGGCUAACUCCGUGCCAGCAGCCGCGGUAAUAC
rnacentral:rRNA from 1 species